rnacentral:rRNA from 1 species
UACGGAGGGGGCAAGCGUUAUUCGGAAUUAUUGGGCGUAAAGGGCGCGUAGGCGGCUAGAUGUGUCAAAGGUGAAAUCCCUCGGCUCAACUGAGGAACUGCCUUUGAAACUGUCUGGCUUGAGGCCGGGAGAGGGUAGCGGAAUUCCCAGUGUAGCGGUGAAAUGCGCAGAUAUCAGGAGGAACACCGAUGGCGAAGGCAGCUUACUGGGCCGAUACUGACGCUGAGGAGCGAAAGCGUGGGGAGCGAACAGG